GAUGAACGCUGGCGGCGUGCCUAAUACAUGCAAGUCGAGCGGAAGGACGAGGAGCUUGCUUCUCUGAUGUUAGCGGCGGACGGGUGAGUCACACGUGGAUACCCUCCCUGUCAUACUGAGAUCACUUCGGGAAACCGGAGCUAAUACCGGAUAAUAUUUUGCACCGCAUGGUGCAAAAGUGAAAGACGGUCUUGCUGUCACUUAUAGCUGGAUCUCCGCUUCAUUAGCUAGUUGGUAAGUUAACGGCUUACCAAGGCAACCAUGCGUGGCCGACCGGACAGGGGGAUCGGCCACACUGGAACUGAGACGCGGUCCUGACUCCUACGGGAGGCAGCAGUAGGGAACGUUCCGCAAUGGGCGAAAGCCUGACGGAGCGACGCCGAGUGAGUGAUGAAGGUCUUGGGAUCGUAAAGCUCUGUUAUUAGGGAAGACCAGAUGUGUAAGGAAACGUAGCCAGAUUGACGGUACCUAAUCAGAAAGCACCGGCUAACUACGUG
rnacentral:rRNA from 1 species